UGGAUCCAUGAUGACUGUUCGGUGCGUUAUGAGUCGUUUACGAUGAAUACGUGUCUGGAACUCUGAGGUCCAA
ensembl:snoRNA